rnacentral:rRNA from 1 species
CCUACGGGUGGCAGCAGUGGGGGAUAUUGCACAAUGGACGAAAGCCUGAUGCAGCGACGCCGCGUGGGGGAAGGAGCGUUUCGGCGCGUAAAGCUCUGUCAGCAGGGAAGAAGAUGACGGUACCUAACCAAGCAGCCCCGGCUAACUACGCGCCAGCAGACGCGGGAAUACGCAGGGGGCAAGCGUGAGCCGGAAGUACGGGGGGUAGAGGGGGCGCAGACGGCCAUGCAAGCCAGGAGUGAAAGCCCGGGGCCCAACCCCGGGACAGCCCUUGAUACUGCAUGGCUGGAGUACAGGAGGGGCAGGCGGAAUUCCUGGUGUAGGGGUGAAAUGCGUAGAUAUUAGGAGGAACAUCGGUGGCGAAGGCGGCCUGCUGGACCGUGACUGACGUUGAGGCGCGAAGGCGUGGGGAGCAAACAGGAUUAGAUACCCUUGUAGUC